AGAGUUUGAUCCUGGCUCAGAUUGAACGCUGGCGGCAGGCUUAACACAUGCAAGUCGAACGGUAACAUAAAGGAGCUUGCUUCUUUGAUGACGAGUGGCGGACGGGUGAGUAAUGCUUGGGAAUCUAGCUUAUGGAGGGGGAUAACUACGGGAAACUGUAGCUAAUACCGCGUAGAAUCGGGAGAUGAAAGUGUGGGACCUUCGGGCCACAUGCCAUAGGAUGAGCCCAAGUGGGAUUAGGUAGUUGGUGAGGUAAAGGCUCACCAAGCCGACGAUCUCUAGCUGGUCUGAGAGGAUGACCAGCCACACUGGGACUGAGACACGGCCCAGACUCCUACGGGAGGCAGCAGUGGGGAAUAUUGCGCAAUGGGGGCAACCCUGACGCAGCCAUGCCGCGUGAAUGAAGAAGGCCUUCGGGUUGUAAAGUUCUUUCGGUAGCGAGGAAGGCAUUUAGUUUAAUAGACUAGGUGAUUGACGUUAACUACAGAAGAAGCACCGGCUAACUCCGUGCCAGCAGCCGCGGU
rnacentral:rRNA from 1 species